CCCUUAGAUGUUCUGGGCCGCACGCGUGCUACACUGAGUAAAUCAAUGGGUAAGGGAACACGAAAGUGCAACCUAAUCUUGAAAUUUGCUCGGGAUGGGGAUCGACGGUUGCAAUUUUCCGUCGUGAACGAGGAAUACCUUGUAGGCGCGUGUCAUCAUCACGCGCCGAAUACGUCCCUGCCCUUUGUACACACCGCCCGUCGCUCCUACCGAUUGAGUGAUCCGGUGAGGCUCUGGGACCUGGACGGAAAGAGCGUUUCGCUUGUUCUGUUUGGGAAACUUGGUCGAACCUUAUCAUUUAGAGGAAGGAGAAGUCGUAACA
rnacentral:rRNA from 1 species